CUUGAAUUUAUAGUUACCCUUUAAGUUUUCGCGAAGCUUAAGAUGGUUAUAGAUUUCACCGUUGACAGUAAGGACAAGUUUACCAUCGUCAGAUACAAGAGGUUGAGCACCACUUUCAACACCGACAAUAGCAAGACGCUCAUGGCAAAGAAUAGUUUGGUUGCGAAUAGCCUUACCAGACCAGUCAGGACCACGGUGACGAAGUUGUUUCGACAAAUGAAGAGCCUUGGGCUUGAAAGCCUCAAUAUCUUCGGCGACGUGAUGAACAGCAAGAAUACCACACAUAGUUAAUGUUUCAAAAAAA